UACGAAGGGGGCGAGCGUUGUUCGGAAUUACUGGGCUUAAAGCGUGCGUAGGCGGAUAUACAAGUCAGAAGUGAAAUCCCUGGGCUUAACCCAGGAAUUGCUUUUGAAACUGUAUGUCUAGAAUCCGGUAGAGGUUAAUGGGAUAUCCAGUGUAGAGGUGAAAUUCGCAGAUAUUGGAUGGAACACCAGUGGCGAAGGCGAUUAACUGGGCCGGUAUUGACGCUGAGGUACGAAAGCGUGGGGAGCAAACAGG
rnacentral:rRNA from 1 species